rnacentral:lncRNA from 1 species
AUGGCAUCUCCAGCAUGUGUUUGCUGUUAGUGCAUAUCUGGUGAGUGAAAAUGGUCUGUUAGCAUUGUAAGAAUUGAAAAGAAUCGAUUUUAACCACAAAAACUGUAUUUUUCUCCAUAAUUACUCUGAAACUAUCAGGUUUGCUAAACUAGCUUAGGUCAAGCGCAGCUGUGUCUCAUUGUUGCAGCCUCAGUCCCAGUGACAUUGUAUAACACUCAGGGUUUGAAAACGUUUAAAGUUGAGUGUUUUGUUAUCGUGGUGGACAUUUGAAUAGACUUAAACAAUAUGGAGGUGUUUUUAAAUGGAUUUACAUUUUGGGGGGAUUCAAAAUAAAAGUAUUGUUCGUAAGUGGUAGGAAGAAACUCCAGAGGGCAGCACUGAGUGUUGAUUUGCCGCUUAAUCUCGAUCAUGACAAGCUGCAGUGGCGCCAUGAGAAUUUGUACUUUUAUUAAUACGAACAAUCAUUCACUUGCUUACCAACUUACUAACCAUUACAAACCAUCAUUUUGUUAAUGUGUAGCACUGAUAUGAAGGUGAUUUUGUAUUAAAUGUAAUAUAUUCUUAUCCAUUUUAUUUCAUGAUAAAAAAACAAGAAUAAAAUGCAACAUAAAUAAUCAUUUUUAUUUGUUUGGGUAAAAAAUAUAUUUAAAUCCAUAUUUAAAUAAACAAAGGUCUAGAUGUAAAAAAAAACAACUAUAGCAAUGAUAGAAAUGAUUAAAUAUAUAUGCUAAUAGUUGUAUGAUAUAACAUUUUAAGUAAUCAUUAAUAUUAUUAUUAUUGUUUAAACAACUAGUUAAAUAUCACCAGUCAAACUUCAAUGUGCAGGAGUUAAUCAAGUUUCUCAGGCAGCAAACAAAUCUGACCACAUAUCAAAACUGACCACCAGGGGGCGCUUUUCUGUAAUGUGCCUAUUGCUUAAUCUAACCGCGUUCUCUUUUUCCACUUCCGGGUCCAGCGGAGUUGUUAUAAUGCCUCAGUGCUAUGUCCCUUGCUGCUUAAACUGAUCAGAGACAAAAACAGCGACUAAACUAUCAUUCUACAGAUUUCCUCCCAACAACAAAGACAACAAAAUAACUUCAUCAUUUCUGUAUUGUAUCCAUAGACUGUAUACAGUCUAUGUUUGUAUCACAAACACACGGCAUCACGUCCAUUCAUUCAUUGAAUUCAAAGCUUCGCGCACCAAAGCCUCGGGGUGUCUUUGGUUUAUCGUUUUACAUUUAUUGUCCACUUGAUGGCGCAAUAGAGCAAAUGAAGCACGAUCAUGAAGCUUCGGCCCAGGAGGCGAGUAAUUGGAUGGAAAGCUUCGAUGCUUCAUGAGGCUUUAUCUCGCCAUCACUAAAAUUUACGUUAAUAACUCUAUCCGAGUUGAAAGCUUUAAGUCCCUUUUUAACUCUGAGUGGUUCCCUUCUGAAAACGGAGGUUAUUUUAAAGAGAUUCACGGGUUCUGCCAUUGUUGUUUUGAAUGGAGAGUGAAUGGAGGCUGAUUCCCCAUGGACCCGGAAGCCGCUCCGCUCACAAAAUGACGUCACGCUUAACAGCCGGAUUGCUUAAUCUAACUGGGUCCUUAACUCCAGAUCCUGAUGUCUUCUAGUCCUUGUGUUUGAUCCUCAGGUGUAUGCGAGAGGACUGGAGACUCAGCGCUUCAUGGGAUCUGGAGACGACAGCCUGGUAGAGUUGCGUUGUUGGCUCAGAGUUUCAGGGUCUUCAGUCCCUGAUAGUGCUGUUGAUGUUUUCAGCACCUGUAGUGUUCGUUUUUAAUGUAACACUCCAGUCCAGUG